rnacentral:rRNA from 1 species
GAUGAACGCUGACGGAAUGCUUAACACAUGCAAGUCUACCUGAACUUCGGUUUGGGUGGCGGACGGGUGAGUCACGCGUAAGGAACUUGCCUCACAGCUCGGGACAACAUUUGUAAACGCAUGCUAAUACCCGAACUUAUGAUUUUAGGGCAUACACGAAUUAUGAAAGCUAUAUGUGCUGUGAGAGAGCUUUGCGUCCCAUUAGCUAGGUGGAGAGGUAACGGCUCACCAAGGCGAUGAUGGGUAGCCGGCCUGAGAGGGUGAACGGACACAAGGGGACUGAGAAACGGCACUGACGCCUACGAGAGGCAGGAGUGCGGAAUAUUGGACGAUGUACGAACAGUCUGAGCAAGCAUGUGUGUGUGGACGAUGACGUUUUGCGGAAUGUAAAGUGCCUGCUGUUGGGAAGAAAUGGUGACGGUACCAACAGAAGAAGUGACGGCUAAAUACGUG